AUUGAACGCUGGCUGCAUGCCUUACACAUGCAAGUCGAACGCGAAAGAGGGGCAACCCUUGAGUAGAGUGGCGAACGGGUGAGUAACGCAUCGGAACGUAUCCAGUAGUGGGGGAUAACCCAUCGAAAGAUGGGCUAAUACCGCAUACGCCCCGAGGGGGAAAGUGGGGGAUCCGCAAGGACCUCACGUUAUUGGAGCGGCCGAUGUCCGAUUAGCUAGUUGGCGGGGUAAGAGCCCACCAAGGCGACGAUCGGUAGCUGGUUUGAGAGGAUGAUCAGCCACACUGGGACUGAGACACGGCCCAGACUCCUACGGGAGGCAGCAGUGGGGAAUUUUGGACAAUGGGGGCAACCCUGAUCCAGCCAUGCCGCGUGAGUGAAGAAGGCCUUCGGGUUGUAAAGCUCUUUCGGCCGGAACGAAAUCGCAUCCUCUAAUACGGGGUGUGGAUGACGGUACCGGAAGAAGAAGCACCGGCUAACUACGUGCCAGCCGCCGCUGUAAAAC
rnacentral:rRNA from 1 species